AGGAGGUGGGGAGAUGCUGUUGAAGGCCUCUGAGUGGAAGACCGGCAAGGAGCUUUUACUACCAUCACUAUGGGCCAUCAAACAGCCUGUAACUCUGUCUACAGCUGAGGAUAAUGUUAGUGCUUGAAGUGGGUGGGAGGGUGUCCAAAGGGGUCACAGACCUGACCCGAAAACAACUUUAUUCAACCCAGGAUGCUCUUCAAGUACUAUCUUGCCAAAGCUGCUGCUCCCAGAAUAUGAUAGGACCGCCCUCCCCCCCUCAAAACCCCACUUUUUUCAGAUCACUAAGCACUGGGUAGGGCUAUACCUUGCUGCCUAGGAGGAAGCAUGAUCUAAUGCCUCAGCCACAGAACUGUGGCAUCUGGGUUCUCUUCCCAGAUCUGCCACAACCUCAGUUUCCCCAUCUGUAUAAUGGGAGUAAUACCAACCUCACAGAGAAGCCGUGAGAGACAAUUCAUGGAUGUCAGUCAAGUGCUUUGUGAUCCUUUGAUGGCAGGUGUCACAGACGGGCGUAAAGUUGUCUUGUUCGUGAUCAGAGCUUUUAGCAUUGCAGCUGCUCGGUCUUAAGCUUUAAUCCCUCGCACCCCCCCUUCCUGGCGUGCUGAAAGCUGGAGUGAAUUUGUAAAUUCAUGCUAUGGGUGAGGUGAGAGCUGCAGGCUAUGGUGAUCUGAUCCAGACCAUAUGUUUUUUAAAAACUACAAAUGAAAAGAGCAACAUUUAAUCUGAGCUCCUGAGAAGUGUAUUUUCUUUAUAGCUAGCCCUGGAGUGUCUGGAACAUAGCUGCCCUUCAGGGUGUUUUUCGGAGAGGAGCAGUUGUGUGCUCUGCUUUGAGCUUUGCGUGACCUGAGGUCUGCAACCAUAGUAAGCUGCCAGACCCCACCGAUAGGCCCUCGCUUCUUGGAGCCAGAACUGGGAAAAAUGCUUUCCAAGGGCUAUGCUUGCUGACAGAUUCCUACCUGGUUCAGAGAAAGGGGGAGUCCCACGAGAAACUAACCAUGGGUCAGCAAGCAACUGCUGACGUGACCUUUUUUUUUUUUUCCCAAGAGUGUGUCGUCUUUUGAAUGCCAUCCAAGCUCCAGCACUUAACAGUGUGAGAAGGUAUUGCAGGAAGAGACCCUAGGAAAAAAACAGCAUUAGCAAUCUGCUUUUCCAAAGCUUCUCUUGGCAGGUGACUGUGAAACUGCACAUGUUCUAGAGAGAUAGUUAAAGGCUUCUUCCCCUCCUGGCUUCAGCUCUAGGAGGAAAAAUCCCCUGUGUGUUAAGUCCAUACAGAACUGUAUAUGCCCUCCACUCAAAGCAACUGAGCCAUCUUCCUGUGAGUGUCUCCGUCUUAGAAAUGAUCGGGAAUUUACUGAUGGUUUUUCCCCUACAAAAUUUUUUGCCAUAAGAUUAUUUUUUUUCAGUUCGUCCAAAUUUGGGGUGUGGGAGAAUGUUUGAGGGUUUUUUUUGUUUUUUGUUUUGUUUGUUUGUUUUGUUUUUUUUAGCAACCAAAAACUUAAAACAAAAACAAAAAAACCUUGAGUACUUUUGACAACCAAAGCUUUAUUUUUGAUGAAAUUCCCAAGGGGUUGUGUGUGGAGGUUUUUUGUUUUUUCUAUUGAGGGGGAAAAUUUCAACUGGCUCUCCUCCACCUGCCUCUGUUCUCUCUGGCUCCAGUUCGUCUUUCAUUUUUGCCAAUGUAACUGAGCUGCAUUUCCAUCAAACUCUCUAUUCAGAGUAGCAUCUCCUAGGUGCUAGAUGUCUUUCAAAUACUCAAGCGUCCCUGCUCCAAAGAGCUGCCAGCCUGGGAAUAAACAGAUACAAGGCAGUUAGCAGAAGAACAGCCAACUCUACAAAUCAGUCUGAUUCACUGUAAACCGCAUGGCAGAAGGAAGGUGUGACUGGGUAUAUCAGACUGAGGCCCCCUUGCCACACGCUGCCCCAAAAAAGGGCAGUGAAGAGAGUCCUCCAAGCUGCCUAGAGUGCCUGUGUGGGACACCUCCAAUCAGAGCCCAGCAGCCUAGUAGAAGAAGAGCUGCAGGGCAGAAGUUCAGCUCCUUGCUGGAGAUGUAGGAGCCUGGAUGGUGUGUGGCUGGCUGAUGGAGCUGCAGAACCUCAGACAGGGGAAGUGGCCCAGGGGAUUAGAGAAGCUGUAUGAUGCAGUUAAAGGGAUGCGGCAGAUGGCUGAUAUCUACAGGGUCCCUGGGCUGGGACCCGGAGUAGGGGGCAGGCCCGGGUCCCUGACAUUUGCCACUGGGGGGGAAGUGGGCUGAACACUGAGGCACCCCAGAGAGGGACCUGAACUAUAGUGGCCCAGCUGGAGAGCUGUAGCCAGAAAGCCCAAAAGGGCGAACACAUUGUCACCAGGGAGGAGCCAUGGGGGCACUGCUCUAUCCCGGAGCAGGGACAAACAGCGUGCAGGCACACGCACUCGGCAAGGGAGGCACUCACGAGAGGUGAGUGUGCCCCGUUACAGAAGGUGUUCAAUGCCGUUGUUGUAAGAACCUUGGGAAUUCUGUUGUAUUCCGGUUCUUGCCACGUCCUCAUUGCUGUAAUGUCUGAGCACCUUCCUGUUGGUCAUUAAGCAACUUGACUAACAUCUGCCCUCUGUGGCUUGUUCUGGGGAGAGGAGAUGAAACAGAAGAAUUGUAUGGGAAGUUUAGCCUUUUUUUGGAUAGGAUGAUUUUAUUUUAUUUUGAAGGGAGGUUGUGUCUGUCUUUAGAAGGAAGGUAGAAUGGUGCCUUGCGGUUGAAGUGGAAGGUAGGAAUGAGCUUCAUGAGGUCAUGCCACACAUAGGGGAUCACAUGUAGGUGAUAGGGGUCAAGGCUAGGAAGUUGCAGGGUUGCAAAUGAGAAUUGGCCUCUUGCUUCCUCUCACAAAUCAGCCAGGUGUUUGGAGGCCCUUCCCCGUUUAUCAGAAGUGAGUAGAUGCGACUUAUGACAGGAGGGUCUGUCUUUAAUAUUGCAUUACUUUAUUUCGUACCUCUCCUCUAAUGUUCUGGGGAAGGGUAACGGAGAACCGCAACAAACCUUCCCUUUUCCCCAUACCCCCUACAAAAUACCCCCAUCCCCCACCGUUCUACAGGGAAAUCAGUGGCGCUGGUAAUUGGCGUGAGGAUGACUUAUUAGGCUUGGAAAAGGAAGAGACGCCAUCCAACUAUUAAAAGCUGGAGAAAGAGGGACGCCUUGUGAGAGACAACUUUGUGAACGGAGCCCAGCGGGAGCUAGAAGGUACCUGGCAACAAGAGUGGGAAUGGACAUGCGUGCCCAAGGGAACACAUGCGCAGGCUGUCCUGUAGGGUGAUCGUGUUCGGUGUUUAAAGUUAGUGUUGGCAUCUGAUCACACCCGUGGAAAUGGAUGGAUCCGUUCACACCUCUCAGAUAUUAUUUCAGGCAUUCUGCGUGUUCAGGCAGCUAUCUCUGUGUUGGGUACGCUCAGGUCACGUUUACAAGAUUUUCUUUGCAAAGAUAACAGCUAGAGCCUCAUGCUUCUGAUGACAGUUGAGACUCCGAAGAAGACUUGAGAGGCUAGUUUUCACCUCCCCAGUUUGGCCUUUGCCCCUAAUCCUCUUUAGGAAGUGAUGGGUUUCCCUAAAGGGAUAACACUGCAACUCAGUGCCAACUGGUUUUACAAUGCUAGCUGCAGAUGGAGUUUCUGACUUGGCUUGCCAUGGUCACAUUCAUGGUAAAUCCACUUCCAGCAACGAUCCUCGCUUCCCACUAGUGAUUGUGCUGCUUUCCAAAAACAAAUUCCAGCUACGCUUUUGUACCUCCCUGUCCCCAUCUGAAUCCUGCAAUGACAGCCCCACACUUGCUGCCCACUGGGGACUUGGUUUAAAUACACCCCCCCCUUUUGCCCCUUUUAGUGGCAUGAAUUUUAAUUUGACGUCUGAGAGUUAGGUCUUUGGCCUCCUGAUUACAUGCCCAUUUGUAUGAGCUUUAGGUCUAAUUAAUGUAGUAAAAUGUGUGAAAGUAUUAAAUUUCUUCAGCCCGGGCAAUUUUAUCCCUGACAGUAACAAAUAAAGCAGUUAUGUCUCUGGCUUUUUUUAUUAUUGUGCUAGCUUUUUUUGUUACUGGAAAUUUAAAUUAUAAUGGAAUGUGUCACUUUUCUAAAAAAUGUACCCAUAGCAACAAGAACAUCUACAUUAUUACAGGCUGAUCACUUCCCUACAAGAGUGGCAUCACAUGCUUUUCAGAAACAGUCCUACAGGUGUGGGUUUUUAAUAGGUUUUUUUUCCCCUUUUUUGCAAACAACUGUGUAUACAGAGUUUUUUCCAGCAGCAUGCUGCCUUUAGAAAAACCUACACUUAAUAACUGCCACCAUCUUUGUUAGCCAGAGUGAUUUUUCAGGCAUGAUCUUGCAAUCUUCAGUGGUGAAGUGUAACCCUUACUUGUGCAAGUAAACCCCUAUAGGUUACCCUAAUGUAAAGCUGGAAUAACUCCCUUGAAGCCAGUGAAUUUGCACUGAUGUAACGGAGAUUAGAGUCUGGCUUGCUGUCUCCACUAGGAUUACUACGUAGGAGUAAGGAUACUGAGCUUGUACAUCCGAUGAAGUGAGUUGUAGCUCACGAAAGCUUAUGCUCAAAUAAAUUGGUUAGUCUCUAAGGUGCCACAAGGACUCCUUUUCUUUUUGCGGAUACAGACUAACACGGCUGCUACUCUGAAACAGAGCUGAGUAAUUUUUUUUUUCCAAUUUUGGGGGCCCCCAAAUGGGAAUGAGAGAUGCAGAUUUAAGGCAAAUUGAAACCAAUUCAAAAAAGUAUCAAAUUUAAAAAAAACCCUCAAAGUCGAUGGGUUUUUUUUUUUUUUUUUUUAAUUUUCAUUCAGCUAUUUUCAGGUGCCUUUUCCCUACUUUGCCAAAUUUGAAAACAAAACGUGGCUUUGAAACAAAAGGUCAAAAUAAAACAUUCUGCUGACUUUUUGUUUUUUGUUUUUUGUUUUAAAUGUUGGCUGAAACUAAGAGUUGAAUUUGACCCCAAUUCACAAAUGGGUUUGGAGCCCUGAAUAUUUAUUUUUUUUUUUUUUUUGGUUGCAAAACUUCUGAUGCAUAUUGUCUGAUCCUAACUUUUGGGGCACUCUAAGAAGCAAUCUUUUUGUUUCUUUUUUAAAAAGUUCUUUUAAGACAUCCUCCUCAGAAACCAGCUUCAAUGGAUGGCUGUCAUUUUGAAAUCUGAUCAGUUUUAAAAAAAAAAAAAGUCUAGUUUUGGACGCUGGACCUGUCUCAAAGUCUCCCUGCCAAUUUUUGUACUGUUACAAUCAGUUUCAUAUUCUCUUAAAAAAAAAAAAAAAAACUCUCUCCUCCUUACUGUAAAAAAAUAACCACCUACAAAAACCAAAGUGCUGUCAAAUGUUUGACAUAAAGACACUGGAGGGAAAAGGGAGACGUUUUUCUCUCAUCUCUUUCGCUUGUAAGGACUCAUAAGUGCUCCCUGUAUUACUCGUAGGUUGGAAAAGUUCAGACACAAAGGGAUGAUUUUUCAAAAAUAGUUGAGAGUCCCUUUGAACCACAUUCAGUUACUGUAUUGUAACCGAAAUGACAAUAAAGGAUUUAUAGGCACCGUUAGAUAGUUUAGAUUAAGAAAGCAGGUUUAAUAAAUCUACAUGCACAUAGUAAGGAGACCUUAACCAAACCUAUAGCAUAUUUAAUACCAGAGGUUUCUGCUUGUCCCCCUGGGGUUCCUGUAUCUUCCCCAGGGUUGUGAAGUGUGCAUUACACUAAUUGUCUACUGCAUUCUACUUCUACCCCAUGAUGGCUGCAUUUCAGAGGUGAUGUUUGUACUGACUAUUUGCAAAUUGCUGGGGAAUGAGCGGUGCUUUAUAAAUAUUACUUAUGGCUCAAGUCUUGCAGAACAAAAUCUCGUUCAGGGAGAAGUGACUGUCAUUCAGCAAGGUCAACACAAAACAUGAUCUUCAAAGUGCAAGGGAAGCCGGCUCUUUUUGUAAAGGUUUGAGUAAUUUAUUGCACCAAUAGAAAAGUGUGGCCAGGGCACCUAAGGUUUCAAGGGUGCCGUUUUCAUGGAUGAAGCUUUCAGUUUUAGUGUGGUUAUAGUAACUGAUGUCUGUACGCAGGCUGUUAUGGGAACAAUGUGUAUUCUGUCAGUGAUUUUCUGAUCAAACGUGUUCAGUUUGCAGCUGAAAGGAAGCAAAGUCAUGUGGGAGGGUGAUUGACAAGGAAGAAGGGUAUGAAUGACACAACCCUGCCAGACCUGCAGAUCAGGCUGGGAUCUGGAAGUCCCUCUGUUUCCUUUAUGGCUCACCUAGCAUCACCUUUUAAUAAAGAUUCUAAAAUGGGGACUUGUAAUUUUGUUGAAGAUGCAUGAGCCAGAAAAUAAUCCAGCUCAUUCUCUCUUGGUUUUAUUAACUCUACAGGCUCGUAUUGCAUAUAAAAUAGCUUUCAAAAGUAAGCACACAGAAUAAUAAACACUGGGAGCAGAUCCUGAAAUGAUACAAGAAAUGGUAUGC